rnacentral:rRNA from 1 species
ACGCACGCUGGCGGCGUGCCUAAUCCAUGCAAGUAGCACGCUGAAGAGAGGAGCUUGCUCUUCUUGGAUGAGUUGCGAACGGGUGAGUAACGCGUAGGUAACCUGCCUUGUAGCGGGGGAUAACUACUGGAAACGAUAGCUAAUACCGCAUAACAAUGGAUGACACAUGUCAUUUAUUUGAAAGGGGCAAUUGCUCCACUACAAGAUGGACCUGCGUUGUAUUAGCUAGUAGGUGAGGUAAUGGCUCACCUAGGCGACGAUACAUAGCCGACCUGAGAGGGUGAUCGGCCACACUGGGACUGAGACACGGCCCAGACUCCUACGGGAGGCAGCAGUAGGGAAUCUUCGGCAAUGGGGGCAACCCUGACCGAGCAACGCCGCGUGAGUGAAGAAGGGUUUCGGAUCGUAAAGCUCUGUUGUAAGUCAAGAACGGGUGUGAGAGUGGAAAGUUCACACUGUGACGGUAGCUUACCAGAAAGGGACGGCUAACUACGUG